CUGGCUCAGGAUGAACGCUAGCGACAGGCUAACACAUGCAAGUCGAGGGGCAGCGCGGGAGUAGCAAUACGUUGGUGGCGACCGGCGCACGGGUGAGUAACGCGUAUGCAACCUACCUAUCAGAGGGGAAUAACCCGGCGAAAGUCGGACUAAUACCGCAUAAAACAGGGGCACCGCAUGGUGAUAUUUGUUAAAGAAAUUCGCUGAUAGAUGGGCAUGCGUUCCAUUAGGUAGUUGGGUGAGGUAACGGCUCACCAAGCCGACGAUGGAUAGGGGAACUGAGAGGUUGGUCCCCCACACUGGUACUGAGACACGGACCAGACUCCUACGGGAGGCAGCAGUGAGGAAUAUUGGUCAAUGGGCGGGAGCCUGAACCAGCCAAGUCGCGUGAAAGGAAGAAGGAUCUAUGGUUCGUAAACUUCUUUUGCAGGGGAAUAAAGUGCAGGACGUGUCCUGUUUUGUAUGUACCCUGAGAAUAAGGAUCGGCUAACUCCGUGCCAGCCGCAGC
rnacentral:rRNA from 1 species